rnacentral:snoRNA from 2 species
AUCUUAAUGAGGCCAAAUCUAGUUAAGGGCCUCAGCUCUUGGGAAAUAUUCUUUAAAGAUCCACCCCACAUGAAGAAGGCA